ACAGUGUUUUUUAUGAUUUUUUUUUUUAUCCUUCUCUCUCUCUCUCUCUCUCUCUCUCGUUGCGGUCAUGGCUAUUAAUCAAUUUCAAAACCUUUCUAUUUUUCUAUUAUUCUCUAGGCAACCAAACAAAGUUCUUGACUAGGUUUUUUUUUUUUUUUCCUUUUUUUAUGAUUUUCGUUUUGAUUUCCUCAUCAAGUUCAUCGCCAUCGAAUUGAUUUCACCAAGCCGAUACUAUUACAUUCAAAUAUUCACACUUUUCCCUAUCCAAACCCUUCGAUUAGGUUUUUUUUUUUUUUUUCUAUUUCUCUCGAUUUCGUAGUUUUAAAAACUUAUUUCUGAUCAGUUUGUUUUUGCUUGGACUCGAAUUUCAUCCAUACUCUGUUAUUCGCUUUGAGUAUUUUGAACUUUUGUGGUUUUUGUUCUUGAAUUUGAAAUGCUAUGUCAAAAUUGAAUUAGUAGUUUUGUGUAUUGCGUGCUUUCAAUGUGAUUGCAGGUGCAUUUGCAUUGGUUAAGGACUUUAUGAGGAAAAUGGCAGAAAGUUACAAGAAUUGUAAGCAGAGUUGGCUUCUUCUAAUGAAUUGCGGCAAAAGCUGGAACGAAAGGUGAGUUAUCUUCAGAAUGACAAUGCUUUGCUCUAGAACAAGCAAAAGGAAUUAAAGGGAACUAUACAAAGCUUACUUCAAUCGAAGGAAAGUUUUGUAAAUGCUUAUGAGUUGCAAGAGUUGAAGCUGCGAGCAUCAGGCAACUUGGACGAUCCCUUUUCAAACCCUGGCAUAUUUGAGAAGCAACUAUUGCAUGUUGUGAUGGUUGAACCUAAAGUCUCAAACAAAUCACGUUUUACGCAAGAACUUAUCUCAACUAUCUUAUUUACUAUAGCUCUUGGAUUAGUAUGGAUGUUCAUGCCAAUGAGCUCUAGCUCAAAUGGAACCUCCUCUUGUAAAAGCAUUGUGGAUGGUGGGGUCAAGGGUUCAGGACCCACCAGGUGCCAUUUAUGUUGUCCUUGGGUGGAUAUGCACUUGUUAAAUUGGAUGUAUGUGCUUUAUGAGUAAGGAAAAUAUUGGAGGGAUGGGGUGUCCUCUAUAGGGAAGUACAUGAAGAAAGGAUGCAUCAUCUUUUUUUCAAUGAUACUAGCUUUUGUCAUGGGCCUAGCCUUCUUGUUGGAAAGUGACACUUCUCCAUAAAUAUGUUACUUGAGGAUAAUUGAUGGAGCACAGUGGUUUUUAAUUUUUUUUUUCUUUUAAUUAGCCAUUUUGAAAACUUGGAACUAUUUGAAUACUUAAAAAAAUUAUGUUGGUGCUUUAGUUUUUAUAUGAGAAUGGAGUUUAAUUUG